rnacentral:rRNA from 1 species
GAGUUUGAUUAUGGCUCAGGAUGAACGCUAGCGAUAGGCUUAACACAUGCAAGUCGAGGGGCAGCACGGGAUUAGCUUGCUAAUCUUGGUGGCGACCGGCGUAAGGGUGCGUAACGCGUAUGCAACUUGCCUGUCAGUGGGGAAUAACCCGGAGAAAUCCGGACUAAUACCGCAUACACUUUGGUUUCCGCAUGGGGACUUUAGGAAAUAUUUAUAGCUGACAGAUAGGCAUGCGUUCCAUUAGCUGGUAGGUGAGGUAACGGCUCACCUAGGCAACGAUGGAUAGGGGAACUGAGAGGUUAAACCCCCACACUGGUACUGAGACACGGACCAGACUCCUACGGGAGGCAGCAGUGAGGAAUAUUGGUCAAUGGGCGAGAGCCUGAACCAGCCAAUUCGCGUGAAGGAUGACUGCCCUAUGGGUUGUAAACUUCUUUAGUAGGGGAUUAAAGUUUGCCUUGCGAGGCA